rnacentral:tRNA from 1 species
UCCCUGGUGGCUCAGACAGUAAAAAAGCAUCUGUCUACAAUGCAGGUAGACCUAGGUUCGAUCCCUGGGUUGGGAA